AAUAGUCAUAAUAAAAGAAUUAUUCCAAACAAGAUGAUCAGAAUUCUCAUGGAAACAAGACAAGCAACUAGCAAAUGGGGGAUGAUAAUAAAAAACAUAACUAUCAACAACAUUAUUUCUUCGAAAUGAAUUAUGUCAACUGAAGGAGGAAGCAUAUCACUUAAAAAUUCAAACCGAUGCCAAAUUAAACACUGAGUAGGAUCUAUCCAACCAAAUAGAAUAACUUCAAGCCAAAUUUGAUCGAGCAAGAGAUAUCAAUUUUGUUCUGCAAAAACCUGUGAUGGACCAAGAACACAAUAAGUGAACUUUGCGAAGAAGUUGUAUCAAUUCCCAACCAUAUCCUCCUUUUGUCAGCAAUUUUCUUCUCAGUUGUUCCUUAUGAAUCCAAAUUCCAAAUUGUUUUUGAAAUACACCGAGUAUUUGACACAAUGCUAGCGCGCCAGUACGCUACAGCGCUAGUGCGAUGCUUAUUUUGUCGGGCAUAUUUUAAAACCUGGCCAAACAGUAUUUCCACUAGAUGGCGUUGCAGAUUCAUCAGCCUCUAGCGUGUGAAAUGGAACUAUUGUUACUUUUUGUUGUCAUGUGAUUCUCAUUGUUUACUUUGUUUUUACGUUGAAAACGUGUAUUUGAGUUUCCCUCGUCUAAAUGGUAUCGUUAUUUCGUUUUUUGGUGUUUUUACCUCCACCCCUAUUAUCGAUGUGAAAAUAUUGCACUGCUUCAUUACCUAAACGAAAUGUCAGCCGUUGCACUUGGGCUUAGAAUGAGGUAAUAUUAACAUAUUUUUGGAAAACCAGGUCUCAUGUUGUAUCAUUCUGGGUAAAGCCAACUCUGUUCGUAUGCCAACUCGGUAUCAUGCCAAUUCUGUUACAAGCAGAACUGUGCAUGAUACUUGGUGAAAAUUGAUGGUUUUGUGUUUACAACCAAAAGCCAAUUUUCAGGAUUAUUAAGACAAUAAUUUACUACUUUUACAUUUGCAACAUGUUAAUCUUAUUCUUUUUUAUUAGUAAACAUAUCCAGUAGUGGAGUUGCAAGUAACAGAUGUGUUCUGUUGUGUACUUUGCACAUAUCGUGGUUUGUUGCAUGAUUUUAUUACUUUGUGAAUCAAUUGUAACUUAUUUAUGAGACAUUCUUGAAGAUGUGCUAUUUGCUAAUAUUCUGCAAGAAUAGGAUCACCCAUUUACUUCUGUUUGGUAAUAACCAUAUCUGUUCAACUAUCCCCUUAAUUCUGAUGGCUACAAGAUUAAGAGGAUGGUUUUAAAACAUUUGCUUCGAUUAUUAUGUGUGUGGUAGUGAUUCGAAGUGGUAUACAGGUCGUACCUGAAAACUGAACUUUAAGAACUUUGAAAGGCCAUGUUAUGUUCAUUUACUAUAGUUAACGUUUGAAACUACGCAGACCUUUUGUAACUUGUGAAGGAGAACAUAGUUCGUUUUUUUAAUUUUCGAAAUUUUAACUUUCAGUACAAC